UCAGGAUCAAAAGCUGGACAGAGAUUAGGUUCCUUACUGACCACAGACCAGCCCGCUGUCCGGCCUCUGCUUCUAGAAGUCAGCAUCUGCUGAAGACCCCGCGGGGUGGAAGUCAGCUCUGGGCCCCAGGGGUCAAUAUUGACCUCCGGUGCCUCAGUCUCCACGUCUGUGAAAUGGGCGGAUGGCGACAUGUAUUUCCCUGGUUCCCAUGGACGGAACGAGUGAACAGGAAGUGGUCCCGGCGCACAGUGAGCCCGUCAUCUUGUUCGGCUACAACAGCGCAAGAGAGUUUUGUAUUUUGGAAAGAACAUGAAUAUGUUUCUAAAAGAAAAAAAAAUUAAAUGGACAAAUCCACACACGGACCAAAACUUUGCACUGUCCAAUUUCUUUGCUGAUUUUUUGUCUAGAGGAUUUAUCCAGUGAUGUCAGUGGUGUGUUUAAGUCCCCUACUAUGAUUGUGUUGUUGUAGAUCUCUCCCUUGUUAUUUUCCAGGAGUUUUUUUAUGUGUUUGGGUGCUCCUGCAUUGGGUGCAUAUAU